rnacentral:rRNA from 1 species
UGGAAUUCCUGGUGUAGCGGUGAAAUGCGCAGAUAUCAGGAGGAACACCGAUGGCGAAGGCAGGUCUCUGGGCAUUAACUGACGCUGAGGAGCGAAAGCAUGGGGAGCGAACAGGAUUAGAUACCCUGGUAGUCCAUGCCGUAAACGUUGGGCACUAGGUGUGGGGGACAUUCCACGUUUUCCGCGCCGUAGCUAACGCAUUAAGUGCCCCGCCUGGGGAGUACGGCCGCAAGGCUAAAACUCAAAGGAAUUGACGGGGGCCCGCACAAGCGGCGGAGCAUGCGGAUUAAUUCGAUGCAACGCGAAGAACCUUACCAAGGCUUGACAUGGACUGGAUCGCCGCAGAAAUGUGGUUUCCCCUUUGGGGCCGGUUCACAGGUGGUGCAUGGUUGUCGUCAGCUCGUGUCGUGAGAUGUUGGGUUAAGUCCCGCAACGAGCGCAACCCUCGUUCUAUGUUGCCAGCGCGUUAUGGCGGGGACUCAUAGGAGACUGCCGGGGUCAACUCGGAGGAAGGUGGGGACGACGUCAAAUCAUCAUGCCCCUUAUGUCUUGGGCUUCACGCAUGCUACAAUGGCCGGUACAAAGGGUUGCGAUACUGUGAGGUGGAGCUAAUCCCAAAAAGCCGGUCUCAGUUCGGAUUGGGGUCUGCAACUCGACCCCAUGAAGUCGGAGUCGCUAGUAAUCGCAGAUCAGCAACGCUGCGGUGAAUACGUUCCCGGGCCUUGUACACACCGCCCGUCAAGUCACGAAAGUUGGUAACACCCGAAGCCGGUGGCCUAACCCCUUGUGGGAGGGAGCUG